rnacentral:lncRNA from 10 species
CCAAAGUGCUGAGAUUACAGACGCGAGCCACCGCACCUGGCAACUUUGGUCUUGUAGGGCUGGUGUGCCAGGAAAAAUUCUCUCAAUGUUCAUAUUUUUAAGCCUAGGAAAAUAUUUGUUUUGUCUUUCAUUUUGAACAUGAACAUUGUUGGAUUCUGGUUAAGGUGUGUUUUGGAGCAGAGCAUGAUGAGGGACUGGGUGAGGGGCUUCCCAGUGAAAGGAGGAACAGAACCUAGCAAAAGCAAAUAUGUCUGUUUCACUCCAAUCACUUAUUACAAUAACCUCUAUUACUUAAUAUCAAAAAAAAAGCAAUGAUCAAUAUGUUGAAAGGGAUGGAAGAAGCAAGUAUGAUGUUUGACCAUAAUAGCAUUCAUUGCUUGGGAAACUAAAGACAAAACAACUGGAAAACUAUUAACACUGUUGGCCAGGUGUGGUGGCUCAUGCCUGUCAUCCCAGCACUUUGGGAGGCUGAGGUGGAUGGAUCGCUUGAGCCCAGGAGUUCGAGACCAGCCUGGGCAACAUGGCGAAACCUCAUCUCUACAAAAAAUACAAAAAAUUACCCAGGUCUGGUGGUGUGUUCCUGUAGUCCCAGCUACUCAGGAGGCUGAGAUGGAAGGAUUGCUUGAGCCUGGGAAGUCGAUGCUGCAGUGAGCCAAGAUUGCACCACUGCACUCUAGCCUGAGUGACAGAGUGAGACCCUGUCUAAAAAAAAAAAAAAAACCCAAAACUAUUAACACUGUUAAUGGAUUCAAUUUCCUGCUUAGAGAUGAAACAUAUACGGUAUUCACAGUAAUAUACACUAUUGAAUUAAAAUCAUAUAACUUUCCAAGGACUAGGACUAAUUCCAUGUGCAGUAUCUAUCUGC